ensembl:lncRNA
UUUCCCGUGGCUUCUCCUGCCCGUGGCUUCACCUUUCUGUGGCCUUCCUUCCUGUGGCUCCCCCGCUGUGGCCUUCCUUCUCUGGGGCCUUUAUAGCAGCUGUGUUAAUUGGAGAGGGGAGGUCCUUUCAUUGUGUAAUGUGGUUGGCCAGGGCUCUCUGUAAUUGAUUAGUCCCUCCAGGUGCAUGUAAUUUACUAAAAGGUGGGUUAAUAUGUAAAAAAAUGUAAUAAAACAAACCAUGCAAAAAUGUAAUAAAACAAACCACGCUAAAAUGUAAAAACAAGCCAUGCUAAAAGGUUAUAAAACAAGCCACGCUAAAAUGUAAUAAAACAAGCCACGCUAAAAUGUAAAAACAAGCCAUGCUAAAAUGCAAAACCAAUAAUUUACAGAAACCACAAUGUCCCCCUGCUGACACAAUAACUAAUCUACAAGUAAAAGUUAAAGUGGUCACCAAAAGAACUAUUUGAGCAACCGUAUUUAGUUAAAAAAUGUAUUAAUUAUUAAUAAAUACAGGGGUGUUAACAUCUUUUCUUUGACAUGAGUAGGACAAACUUUGUUUUAAUUUCAUACAUCAGCCCUGUGUAGAUCAUCUGGUCUCGUGGUUGUCUAUUCCACACACGGAGCACGGUUAAUGAGACGGGCUCGGGUGGGUUGCUACGGACCCCGUGCACUGAGGACAGAGCGCUCCCCUGGCAGUUGUGCCCUGAGCCCUGUUGAACCCGGCAGUUAAAAGUGAGCAUACGGUGCACGGCCCUUGGAAGCGAUGAGGCGUGCUGCAACGCUCUCAGGCGUGAGCUGCGUUGCCCCCCGACCUUUUCAAGCCGCCGUAUCAUAGCGGGUCAAUGACACCAAUGGAGGAAAUGCUCCUGGUGAGGCCCAGCCAGCGGGAAAGGAUCAACUAAUCUGAGUGGACCAUGCGGAGGCAGAAAUGAUUUAUACCUUGUGUAUUAAAUGUCUGUACUAACGCUACGCUGCAUUUAUAUUAACUGUGUGGCCGUGUUCUCUACUUCUUAUCCAAUAACUGGCAUUCCUCGUUUGUGUUUUGUUUUAUUUUUCUAUUUUUUCAUUGACCAGUUUUGAGCUACUGGCUUCCACAUCUGCAUAAAAGGGCGAGUGUGAACAACAACUGUGUGAUUUUGAAAACACUCUUUAGCCCUGCACAAGCAACAAAGGUGUUUGUUAGGACAAAGCCCCAAAAAGGAUAUUCCUUUCCAGAUGUUUACUUUGAGUCUCCCACAGCAAGUGCUCCAUUCCCUGUUAUCUGCAUGCUGAAUGAGCUCAGUGUGCCAGAUAAAUAAUAAAGAGGGAGAUACAGAGAGGUUAACUGGAAAAGCAGCAAAUAGUGUGUGUCUAUUUGCAAUGGGAUGAUAUAUUCAGUGUGUAUGCCUUGAUUUACAUAACACGGGUCAGUUAAAGGUCUGGAUAAAAAAAUGCAAUGACUUCAUGUGACAGAAAUCAUCUUUUUGCUGUCAGCUGGGAGCUGAAAGCAAAGCUUAUUACCGCUCCACGAAGCCACAGUUCUGGUUGUUCAUAUACGUUUGUGUUUGCGUGUGCCUGCAUGGUUUUACCUACACACAUAUGUUUCGAUGUAGUAAAUAUUUGCGUUUGUUUUCUAGAAUGUAAGUGAAAACACAUGUUACAUGGUGAGGAAUUAGCUAGAGAUACACUUGAAUUGUUCGGGGAUAAAUCUGCUCUUCCCCUAUAUUUUGUGGUCAACACAUUGGUCUGUUUUGAAGAUUUUACCUCUAAAUGCCUGCGUGGUUGUAUCAAACUCUCUCACUUUAACAGUUUCAGCUGUGCGUGUGUGUGUAUGUGUAGGAUAUUAGAAAUAAACCGACGACCCGGUUCAUAAAAUGAAUAAACUACAUAUAGUGUACACCAGAAUACAGCCAUGAUUCUGAAACUGUGUAAUCAAUAAAGUAAUGACAAUAUUGUAAAACCACUGUAAUUCUGCAACUGUAAUAGAAUAAUACCAACGUACAGUUAUGAUUGUAUUUGAUGUAAUGUAAUCAACUGGAAUGCAUGCAUGUAAUACUUGCGCAACAACUGAUAUUGACUAAGGGCCAUUCGAAAUCCGAGUUACAAUGAACUCACCAAAAGACCACUCCCAGAGGUGUGGACACUAACUUUCACACCUCUAAGCAUUGUUAUAAAUACCUGUAGGAACCAUUCUUCUCGAGUUCGCUGGUGGAAACAGCAGACAGGCACUAGGGAUGGUCAAAAGGACUGACCUGGGGCCUGUUGGUUGCUGAGACCAGCGGCUCCUCAGCUGAGAUGUUCUUUUUACCACAACACCAUCUCUUUUAUUAAAUACAUUUGAUUUUAACCUUUUGAUCUGCGAUGACCUCUGUCCGUCCGGCGUUUCUGUAUGUCUGUUUUGUUUUUGUGGUUGGGUGUUUUCGUGUGCAUGUGUGUGAGAAAUGUUGGCCUCGUCAUCCGUCAACAUGAGUAACACAGCACAUGUAAAGCUCGCUCACUCGCCUCUUAACUGCAUAAGAUGUACAAGCCUGGUGCUCUUUUCACAUUGACUGAAACGGAGCAGACAUGAUAUUACAUGCUACCGACAGCGCUGAGCACUUAGCAUGUUUUGGCUGUCAGAGUGUUCAUAGCUGGAAGCAGGAGUAGGCAAAGUGAAGGCAACUCAGAAUUUUUUAUCACAUGAAAAUAACUCAGCAACACUCACA